rnacentral:rRNA from 1 species
UUUGAUCCUGGCUCAGAUUGAACGCUGGCGGCAUGCUUUACACAUGCAAGUCGAACGGCAGCGCGGGGCAACCUGGCGGCGAGUGGCGAACGGGUGAGUAAUAUAUCGGAACGUACCCAAGAGUGGGGGAUAACGUAGCGAAAGUUACGCUAAUACCGCAUACGAUCUAAGGAUGAAAGCAGGGGAUCUUCGGACCUUGUGCUCCUGGAGCGGCCGAUAUCUGAUUAGCUAGUUGGUGAGGUAAAGGCUCACCAAGGCCACGAUCAGUAGCUGGUCUGAGAGGACGACCAGCCACACUGGAACUGAGACACGGUCCAGACUCCUACGGGAGGCAGCAGUGGGGAAUUUUGGACAAUGGGCGAAAGCCUGAUCCAGCAAUGCCGCGUGAGUGAAGAAGGCCUUCGGGUUGUAAAGCUCUUUUGUCAGGGAAGAAACGGUGAAGGCUAAUAUCCUUCGCUAAUGACGGUACCUGAAGAAUAAGCACCGGCUAACUACGUG